rnacentral:rRNA from 1 species
UCGAACGAGACCUUCGGGUCUAGUGGCGCACGGGUGCGUAACGCGUGGGAAUCUGCCUUUAGGUUCGGAAUAACUCGGGGAAACCCGUGCUAAUACCGGAUGAUGUCUUCGGACCAAAGAUUUAUCGCCUAGAGAUGAGCCCGCGUCGGAUUAGCUAGUUGGUGAGGUAAAAGCUCACCAAGGCGACGAUCCGUAGCUGGUCUGAGAGGAUGAUCAGCCACACUGGGACUGAGACACGGCCCAGACUCCUACGGGAGGCAGCAGUGGGGAAUAUUGGACAAUGGGGGAAACCCUGAUCCAGCAAUGCCGCGUGAGUGAUGAAGGCCUUAGGGUUGUAAAGCUCUUUUACCCGGGAUGAUAAUGACAGUACCGGGAGAAUAAGCCCCGGCUAACUCCGUGCCAGCAGCCGCGGUAAUACGGAGGGGGCUAGCGUUG